CACAUCACAUUAAAGCACUAGUUCCCAUAUGAUCAUGAAAGUUAAGCAACAUUGAGCCUGGUUAGUACCUAAAUGAGUCACUGCUUGGGAAUAUCAUGUGCUU